ensembl:lncRNA LINC02883 long intergenic non-protein coding RNA 2883
AUUACAGGUGAGAGCCACCUUGCCUAGCCCCAGUCACUGUUGAGGUCACCAUUUUAAAGCUGAGGAAACAUGCUCAGCAUGGCAGCAGAAGCUCUGGCAGUUUCUGUGUGUCUGGCCCCAGCUGCCCAGGCCCCCUGAACCUGAGGGGCCUUGCUCUGGCCCUGGGGUUGGCCUGGGUUUGGCACCUGGCGCUCGGGCCCCUGAGGGCUUGCAGUAGGGGAGCAGUGGCUUUUUUGAGUUGAAUUUAGUAGGGCUGGACUCCUUUCCUGUCCUUUCUGCAGGUAAAGGAGAUGAGCAGCGUUGCUCUGGUACGCAGAGAAGCUUCCAGACACUCCUGGGUUGCACGAUAGAUUAAGUAAUUCUACUGAUGGGCACCAGCUCCAUGCCAGGACCCAGGGCUCCAAAGCCAUUUCCAGGAUAAAUGCAGGCUCUGAGAGCGAGUGCCACGGAUGACUCCUCCAUGGCCGCACUUUCUUCACAUUGGCUCCUGUGAGCUUCCUCAACGCUUUCGAAGCUGGCCCCGCUUCUGUCCACUCUGCAGAGUGAACGUUGAGGCCUGCGAGGUCCCUGCCAUGCCUGUCUCCUCCUCCCAGCAGUAGUGUGAGCUCUGCUCCGGGAUCAAGGCCAGAUCUUUGCAGCCCAUGUGCUUGGCUCCCUCAGCUGAGCCUCAGGACGUGGGUCCUCAGUUUGUGCUGUGCAGCGUGAGGGGCCACACUGCAGUCAAGCCAGCUGGGUGCAAACAGCAGCUUUUCUUCUACUUGGUGGCCCUCCUUGGGAAGGUCCCUCUGCUCCUGUAACUUCAUUUCCUCAUUGAUAACAAAGAAAAAAACAGAUCAUAUUGCCUGUUGUAAGGAU